CAACAGUGCUGUUAGUUAAUUUAAAGGUCAAACUGCAUUAUAAGACAUACUAUACACCAUCUGUGGUCAUGUUUUACGGAAGCAGAUGGUCCUGAGCAACGUCAAAUCAGGUAUGUACGAUAAUUUUCCUCAAAAUACGAUAAUUUUAAGCUUCUGGUACGAUAAUUUGUCAUUUCCCAUCUGGCAACACUGCUGGACCUCCAUGUAUAGGAGUUAAAG